GAUGAACGCUGGCGGCGUGCCUAAUACAUGCAAGUCGAGCGAACAGACGAGGAGCUUGCUCCUCUGACGUUAGCGGCGGACGGGUGAGUAACACGUGGAUAACCUACCUAUAAGACUGGGAUAACUUCGGGAAACCGGAGCUAAUACCGGAUAAUAUAUUGAACCGCAUGGUUCAAUAGUGAAAGACGGUUUUGCUGUCACUUAUAGAUGGAUCCGCGCCGCAUUAGCUAGUUGGUAAGGUAACGGCUUACCAAGGCAACGAUGCGUAGCCGACCUGAGAGGGUGAUCGCACACACUGGAACUGAGACACGGUCCAGACUCCUACGGGAGGCAGCAGUAGGGAAUCUUCCGCAAUGGGCGAAAGCCUGACGGAGCAACGCCGCGUGAGUGAUGAAGGUCUUCGGAUCGUAAAACUCUGUUAUUAGGGAAGAACAAAUGUGUAAGUAACUAUGCACGUCUUGACGGUACCUAAUCAGAAAGCCACGGCUAACUACGUG
rnacentral:rRNA from 1 species